rnacentral:rRNA from 1 species
GCUGGCGGCAGGCCUAACACAUGCAAGUCGAGCGGUAGAGAGAAGCUUGCUUCUCUUGAGAGCGGCGGACGGGUGAGUAAAGCCUAGGAAUCUGCCUGGUAGUGGGGGAUAACGUUCGGAAACGGACGCUAAUACCGCAUACGUCCUACGGGAGAAAGCAGGGGACCUUCGGGCCUUGCGCUAUCAGAUGAGCCUAGGUCGGAUUAGCUAGUUGGUGAGGUAAUGGCUCACCAAGGCGACGAUCCGUAACUGGUCUGAGAGGAUGAUCAGUCACACUGGAACUGAGACACGGUCCAGACUCCUACGGGAGGCAGCAGUGGGGAAUAUUGGACAAUGGGCGAAAGCCUGAUCCAGCCAUGCCGCGUGUGUGAAGAAGGUCUUCGGAUUGUAAAGCACUUUAAGUUGGGGAGGAAGGGGCAUUAACCUAAUACGUUAGUGUUUUGACGUUACCGACAGAAUAAGCACCGGCUAACUUUUGUGCCAGCAGCCGCGGUAAUACAGAGGGGUGGCAAGCGUUAAUCGGAAUUACUGGGGCGUAAAGCGCGCGUAGGUGGUUUGUUAAGUUGGAUGUGAAAUCCCCGGGCUCAACCUGGGAACUGCAUUCAAAACUGACUGACUAGAGUGUGGUAGAGGGGUGGUGGAAUUUCCUGUGUAGCGGUGAAAUGCGUAGAUAUAGGAAGGAACACCAGUGGCGAAGGCGACCACCUGGACCAACACUGACACUGAGGUGCGAAAGCGUGGGGAGCAAACAGGAUUAGAUACCUGGUAGUCCACGCCGUAACGAUGUCACUAG